ensembl:miRNA MIR193A microRNA 193a
CGAGGAUGGGAGCUGAGGGCUGGGUCUUUGCGGGCGAGAUGAGGGUGUCGAAUCAACUGGCCUACAAAGUCCCAGUUCUCGGCCCCCG